UAGCUCAGUGGUAGAGCCCCCGCCUCACAUGCGGGGAGACCUGGGUUCGAUUCCCGG
rnacentral:tRNA from 1 species